UACAGAGGGCCCAAGCGUUGUUCGGAUUUAUUGGGCGUAAAGGGUGCGUAGGCGGCGGAGUAAGUUGGGUGUGAAAUCCCGGGGCUCAACCUCGGAAUUGCAUUCAAUACUGCUUCGCUCGAGUACUGGAGAGGAGGCUGGAAUUUACGGUGUAGCAGUGAAAUGCGUAGAUAUCGUAAGGAAGGCCGGUGGCGAAAGCGAGCCUCUGGACAGUUACUGACGCUGAUGCACGAAGGCCAGGGGAGCAAACGGG
rnacentral:rRNA from 1 species